AUUGAACGCUGGCGGCAUGCCUUACACAUGCAAGUCGAACGGCAGCACGGGUGCUUGCACCUGGUGGCGAGUGGCGAACGGGUGAGUAAUACAUCGGAACAUGUCCUGUAGUGGGGGAGAGCCCGGCGAAAGCCGGAUUAAUACCGCAUACGAUCUACGGAUGAAAGCGGGGGACCUUCGGGCCUCGCGCUAUAGGGUUGGCCGAUGGCUGAUUAGCUAGUUGGUGGGGUAAAGGCCUACCAAGGCGACGAUCAGUAGCUGGUCUGAGAGGACGACCAGCCACACUGGGACUGAGACACGGCCCAGACUCCUACGGGAGGCAGCAGUGGGGAAUUUUGGACAAUGGGCGAAAGCCUGAUCCAGCAAUGCCGCGUGUGUGAAGAAGGCCUUCGGGUUGUAAAGCACUUUUGUCCGGAAAGAAAUCCUUGGCCCUAAUACGGUCGGGGGAUGACGGUACCGGAAGAAUAAGCACCGGCUAACUACGUG
rnacentral:rRNA from 1 species